GAAACACUCGAUUGAAAAUACAGAGAUCCAAUUUAUUGACAAGGCAGUUAUUGAAGAAGAUGCUCCAAGCAAAAUCAUUGAAAAGGAGGUGGUAGCUGGUCCAUCUUUUAAACCACCUGUGUUUGAUUAUGAUGAGCAUGAGGAUGACUGGCUGAAAGACAACUCAGAGUUAGAGGGUUACACGGGUUCUACUAUUGUGAAUGAGGAGGAUGUUUCGUUUAGUGAUCUUGAAGACGAUACUGAUUAUACAAUGCCUAUAAAACCCAAAUCAGUGUCAAUAAAUCAUAGCACAACACUUGAUGUCUCGUGAAUUUAUCUUCAGCUGCCAGGAGAUACUUAUUUACCUUAGGAGUGAACCCACCUGCCUGUGAUCUGGAGCUCCUAGCAAAAAAUGCUGACUCUUAAUUUCUCCAUGGUUCGUGCAUGUUAGGCUGCAUCUUUACCUGUUCUGGCUUGCAGAAGUUAGUACUUCAUGAUUUUGCAAUGACCACUUCUCGUGGUUGUCACUAGUUGGCGCUCUCAAUGUUUAAGGUUGAUCAUCUCAGAUUCUCAUCAUCUCUUGAACCUCACAAUUCGAUCCCAAGAUGCUUGCUUACUUGCACAGUAUGGUGCAAGUCAAUAAGCAACAUUCAUUUUAUCCAUCUCCUCCAUUUUUUGUGUGUUUUGAGGUCAUAGCUUAAUCAUGACCUAGGGGAGGGCAUGAUAGCUAAUUCUCGAAACAGUGUUUGUAUUUGUACAUAUACAUCAAUGACCGUGCCCUGUAAGCUGUAACAAGGCAACGGAUAUAGUGUGGUGUCAUAUAAGG
rnacentral:misc_RNA from 1 species